rnacentral:rRNA from 1 species
UACGUAGGGUGCAAGCGUUAAUCGGAAUUACUGGGCGUAAAGCGUGCGCAGGCGGUUCGGAAAGAAAGAUGUGAAAUCCCAGAGCUUAACUUUGGAACUGCAUUUUUAACUCUCGAACUAGAGUAUGUCAGAGGGGGGUAGAAUUCCACGUGUAGCAGUGAAAUGCGUAGAGAUGUGGAGGAAUACCGAUGGCGAAGGCAGCCCCCUGGGAUAAUACUGACGCUCAUGCACGAAAGCGUGGGGAGCAAACAGG